AACAGGAUUAGAUACCCUGGUAGUCCACGCCGUAAACGAUGUCAACUAGCCGUUGGGAUCCUUGAGAUCUUAGUGGCGCAGCUAACGCAUUAAGUUGACCGCCUGGGGAGUACGGCCGCAAGGUUAAAACUCAAAUGAAUUGACGGGGGCCCGCACAAGCGGUGGAGCAUGUGGUUUAAUUCGAUGCAACGCGAAGAACCUUACCUACUCUUGACAUCCACGGAAUUCGGCAGAGAUGCCUUAGUGCCUUCGGGAACCGUGAGACAGGUGCUGCAUGGCUGUCGUCAGCUCGUGUUGUGAAAUGUUGGGUUAAGUCCCGCAACGAGCGCAACCCUUAUCCUUUGUUGCCAGCGAUUCGGUCGGGAACUCAAAGGAGACUGCCGGUGAUAAACCGGAGGAAGGUGGGGAUGACGUCAAGUCAUCAUGGCCCUUACGAGUAGGGCUACACACGUGCUACAAUGGCGCAUACAAAGAGAAGCGACCUCGCGAGAGCAAGCGGACCUCAUAAAGUGCGUCGUAGUCCGGAUCGGAGUCUGCAACUCGACUCCGUGAAGUCGGAAUCGCUAGUAAUCGUGGAUCAGAAUGCCACGGUGAAUACGUUCCCGGGCCUUGUACACACCGCCCGUCACACCAUGGGAGUGGGUUGCAAAAGAAGUAGGUAGCUUAACCUCCGGGAGGGCGCUUACCACUUUGUGAUUCAUGACUGGGGUGAAGUCGUAACAAGGUAACC
rnacentral:rRNA from 1 species